UACAUGACUCUAGAUGACAGUGGCCACUGUUGACUAUGGUAUCCAAAAAUUGUCAAUAUGUGAGACAUAGAUUAUGCUUCCAUCAAAGCGUAGGUAUUCCAGUGGUGACAAGGAGCUCUGUCAUAUAA